rnacentral:snoRNA from 2 species
UGGAUCGAUGAUGAGCACUGGUGGAGUACGAGUCACUUACGAUGAAUACAUGUCUGGAACUCUGAGGUCCGU